UGACCUCGGAUCAGGUAGGGAUACCCGCUGAACUUAAGCAUACA
rnacentral:rRNA from 3 species